rnacentral:rRNA from 1 species
GACGAACGCUGGCGGCGUGCUUAACACAUGCAAGUCGAACGGAAAGGCCCUGCUUGCAGGGUACUCGAGUGGCGAACGGGUGAGUAACACGUGGGUGAUCUGCCCUGCACUUCGGGAUAAGCCUGGGAAACUGGGUCUAAUACCGGAUAGGAGCCAUUUUUAGUGUGAUGGUUGGAAAGUUUUUUCGGUGUAGGAUGAGCCCGCGGCCUAUCAGCUUGUUGGUGGGGUAAUGGCCUACCAAGGCGGCGACGGGUAGCCGGCCUGAGAGGGUGGACGGCCACAUUGGGACUGAGAUGCGGCCCAGACUCCUACGGGAGGCAGCAGUGGGGAAUAUUGCACAAUGGGCGCAAGCCGGAUGCAGCGGCGCCGCGGGGGGGAGGACGGCCUUCGGGUUGUAAACGCCUUUCGCUAGGGACGAAGCUUUUUGUGACGGUACCUAGAUAAGAAGCACCGGCUAACUACGUG